rnacentral:rRNA from 1 species
UACCAGCACCCCGAGUGGUCGGGACGAUUAUUGGGCCUAAAGCAUCCGUAGCCGGUUUUACAAGUCCUCCGUUAAAUCCAGCUGCUUAACAGAUGGGCUGCGGAGGAUACUAUAAGACUAGGAGGCAGGAGAGGCAAGCGGUACUCAGUGGGUAGGGGUAAAAUCCGUUGAUCCAUUGAAGACCACCAGUGGCGAAGGCGGCUUGCCAGAACGCACUCGACGGUGAGGGAUGAAAGCUGGGGGAGCAAACCGGG